GCAUUUUGCCAUUUUUAUAUGCUACACCAGAUCCCAUCUGAACUUGGCAGUUUGGUAGGCCUGGUUAAUGCUUGGGUGGGAGACUUCCAAGUAAUACCAGGUGCUGUAGGCU
rnacentral:rRNA from 1 species